CCCAGUUCCUUCCUGAGAAGUAGGAGACAAGACCUCUCUCUCCUGCCUCAGUGCACCCCCUGCCCUCCCCGGUGGACAGGAGGCGAGAUGCUCAGGAGAAGAUAUUUAUUCAGGACCCGCUCUGUGCCUGGAGCUGGUAAACAGCACGGGAGCUGGGAAGACAGGUCCUCAUCCUCCUGGAGCUGCUGAGUCAGGGGGAGACAUGAGUCAAGUCAGCCCACAACCGUUUAGGUCACAGAGGCCUUUGCUGCAGCUGACGGGCUACAUAUUUUUAACUCGGAGAAGAACGUCCCAGCCCUUCGGAGCUUCCCGCCAGCAGCCCCUCGUUGGGACCAGGAACGCAGCUUGCUUCCUGCCGUCGGUAGUCUCGCCUCCACCCCCACCCCAGCCCCAGCAGCUCCGACUUCUCAAGUCGAGACGGCGAAAGGUCUUGGGAAUUUUCAUAAAACUCUCAAAUCUGGCUGCGAGCCAAAGGGAAACAGCUCGGAGAGAGGCUGACGCUGUCGGCUCCUGAUUCAGUUUUGGGAUUUCGGAAGUUGGGGAUCACGGUGACAACGUAAGCAUCACAGUGCCGGGGAUGGACAUGAUUGUUUGCCAGGUGUGUGGUUCGUCCUUUCCUCCCAAGGGGAUGCAGCAUCAGGAGGACGGGCUUCUGAGGGAGCCAGAGACUUUAUCACCAGAAGAACAUGACAGCGGCCUGGCUGACUCUUCAUCAUUUUUAAGAUGUGACGACAGUCACCUCCUCCAGGAAGCCUUCUCAGACUUUCCGGCCGUGUCAGGAGCCUUGUCUGGACCCCUGCCUCUGCGCUGGGCAUGUGGCAUGCUGUAUGACACUGGUCUAUUUCUUCUCUGUCCCCGUCUUCAGACUGGGAGCUCCCUGAGACCAACCUCUGUGAUUAAACCAGUCUUCGGGCCUAUUCAGGCUUCAGCGCAGGGCUCGGGGCUGAGUAAAUACCAAUCCCCUUUGCGCAUGCCUCCCAGAGCUGGGGCCUCCAGGGCGGGCAGCCUCUACUUCCACCUUGCCCCCUUGCCCUGGGGAUAAGGCCCAGGCGUGGCCUCUGCUCCCAACACCUGCAGGCCACUCCGUGCAGGCCCUGAGCCCCUUCUCCCAGCCGCUGGGGCCUCCGCUCUCUCCCUUGAACAAAUAAUAAUUGUUAGAAAAAGGCCUGUGGAUAAAUUAUUAUCGUGACCCUCAUUCCAGUGCAGAAAACUUUUGCUAGCUGCCAAGCGAAAAGUCAAAAUUUGCAUUUAAAUAGAAAACG